AUAGAUUAUAAGUAACACAUCCCUUGGAAAGAAAGGAAAAAACACAUAACAGGACCUGGGAUUAAAGAGAAAUCUCAGCAGGUGUUUUAAAAGAACUCAGCAGUUCUUGCUGCUCUUGCUGAGGGCCCAUGUUUCCUUCCCAUACCCACACUGCCUUACCUCCAACUCCAGGGGAUCCAAACCCUCUUCUAGGCUCUAUGAUCCACCAGCAGCACACGCACACAGACGCAUACAAACACAUACAUUUUUUAAAAAGUAAGAACCUGGGGGCUGAGUGUAGUUCAUGGUAAAACAUAUGUGUAUGUACAGGCCCUGGGUUUUGGUUGCUCAACCUACCAGUUAAAAAUAAGACCACUAGUACAGCUUAAACCCAAAUUCAAAGUAUGCUUUAAUUAAAUACAGGUUGAUGAACUCUCUAGCCAGGUUUGCCCAGAAAAUGUCCCUGAGUCACAUUUUGCAGGGGCUUAAAACGGCAAACUCUUAAUUCACCCCAUUUCAAAUGAGUUCCAAUCAGGGCCAAGUAUAUAACCUGACAUAACUCCUGCCCACAUACCUCCCGCCCACAUGUGAUCAAGCACAUCCAAUGUAAUUGGGUCAAACAAACUUGUUUAGAGGAGUGAAAACAAAUGGCUUGUUAGCUCUCAUAAACAGUAGCAUUCAGCAUUCCAGGAAAUGUCUGUCCUUGGGCAAGGGGCUAACAGGUUAGAGACAUGUUUAUUUCAUGGAUCUCUUAAGCAUAGUAAUAACAGCUUAAGUUGUAACAGGUGCAGUUCAUACUAGAACAAGCAUGUCUAUGUGCAAGGUCCUAGGGCUGGUAGAGUUCAUGGUGGAGUGCGUGUGUGAGUGUGUGUGUGUGCAUGUGAGUGUGUGUGUGAGUGUGUGUAUGUGUGCAUGUGUGUGUCCAGGGCCCUGGCUUUAACCUUUCAUACUAGAAGAGGAAAAGGUGAGAACCUUUGACCAAAAGUAAAAAAUACUUGAAUUUUUCUAGAAUUUGUUUUCAACAAUUAUAGUAAUUGGCAUUGUAUAGUUAUUUCCAGAGUUGUUUUAUAUUGGUUACAUUUGUGUUGAGUUCUUGAUUGCAUUUCCUUAGAGCUAGGGACUGACUGUAAAAGGGUGCACAUCUACAAAUCUAAGCCUUUUUAAAGCCAUCGCGAACUGUUAGCUUGAUGGGAAAACCUCCUUGACUUUUCAAAUUAUUGCAGGGUUUAUAGUAGGCCAAAUCAGGUUUACAGAUGAAAUCGAGUUGUUAUCCGAAGGUCUUGUGGUCUGGACUAUAGUAUUGAUAAUACACUGCUAAUAUGCCAGAGCCAUUCUACCUGUCUCCUUAAAAUCUCCAGGACACAAAGACAUUCUGCAUGAUGGACAUCCUAGGUGAAUCUGCCUUCGAUGUUUUGUCUCUAAUGCAAAGUUACCUCCUUAGCAUUGCAAGCGUGCCUUUCUCAAAAUUUUUAUUUUCCUGACAUUUCCAGCAUUCCCAUGAAAUUACUGGAAAUCUGCAAAAUCAGAAAUAUAAAAAACUUUAUUUUUAUGACAAGUUGAAAUAGGUUUUGGCUUUUGUUGUUUAUGUUAACUUGUGUUUAAUUUGCAGCUCCUGACAGCACAGCACUGUGACUUUGGCUCCUGAGUGUGCAGGCUGUUUAGUUUUUCAUGCCAGGUGAUCAUUUUCACCCUAUAGAUGAUAAUCGGGAUGGUCUAUCUUUGGCACUAUAAAAUAACAAAUGAAAACAACUUUAUGAUAUUUCUUAUUAUUUAAAUUACCACCCCUUCCUAAGCCCCACCCACUCCGGCCCACUGGGGAACACCCCUGGGCCUGCCUUCUAAGCAAGCACCCCUGAGCUACAGCCCCAGGCCCCUGUCAUGAGUAGGUUCUUAUUUGGAAUAAAGGUUUUCUUACUUUUCUAUCUUCUCUGUUUUUUUCAGAUGUUAUCCAGAUAUGGAAAAUUGUCACAUUAGAUUUUCUCGUCCUACCUUUAAGUUUUAUGUUGGGAUUCAUGUCCCUAAAUUUGAUUAUAUCUAUAGCAUAGACUGGCACCCUACUGACCUAUUAGUCAGUCACUAGUGCACCAUGGAAUGUGUGUGUGGUUGUUUAGACUUUACUUUGAGAUGCUUCAGGUUUGGCUCCACAGCUGCCCCUCCUUCACCUGAGUCGUGACUGUACUUGGCCGUUCCCGUGUGAGCACUGUUAGAGUCUCUGCUGUGUGCUGUGGCUGAGUCAGUCAUCAAAGUGAACUAUUGUGUUAGUGUUUGCACUGAGACUCAUUAGUGCCUUCCUGUAGAUACGGAAGUGUAGACCUACCGUGGACUACAGUAAGCAUAUACAGCCAUGGAGUAGCUGUGAGUACAACUCACACCGGCUAAUGAGACCAUGUGAUUAGCUGCUGUUCCCAGCUUAGAACCAAAUGUUUGCCUCAGCUCCUCAAGGUUAGCUUUCUGCUGUGUAUCUCAACCUCUUAAAUCCAUACAAUAAACUCUGCUCUUGCAAACCCUACUUACCAUACUGCACGUGGUUAUGGCCUAGCUCCUCCCCAAGCCCACCAACCUUACAAUGUUGUACUGUCUAGAGAUUCCUGCUGCCAUGCUCACACCUCAGGACAGAUUUCCUGGCGCUUUUGGAACAGACCAGACGAGCUCCAGUUAAUGACAUCCAUAUGAACAUGUGAUUUGAACUGUUCACCAUCCCUGUGGGAGCCAGUCCAGAGCCAGGUUGCCUCCCUAGAUAUUCUGGGUUUCUUCCCAGAUACCUGCUGCUGGAUCCCAGUAAUUGCCAAAACCAGCUCAGGAGGGUUCCAACUCCAAUCAUGCCCACAAACUCGCAAUUCCACAGAGGCACAAAGGGAGGUUAUAAUGGAAAAGGAGUCUAACCAUUCUUACCCUCUGCUGAGAAUACACUCCUGGAAGAUUGAGUAACGUGGGGAGUGUUGUAGCUCUGUGACACUGAUUGUUCUGUGGUAGGCAGUGUGAAGUACUGUUUCUGUUCUGAGUCGCACUGAUUGAAAUGCAGCUCUGUUUACCUCCCUGUCACCAGCCAUCUCAAAUGCCAUUUCUAAAACUAAAUACCAUUCAUUAAAAACCUAAUCAGUUAGGAAAUUUGGAACACUCAGAUCUGGAUGGCCCUGGUCUUUCAUGGAGAAAAUGUCCUACUGACUGGAGGCCUGUAAGCUCCAGUGACAGAAGGCUGUGAUUGUCCCUCAGCCAAAGUGAGUCUUUUGUACCUGCUGAGUCUGUCUGGAGUCACAUUUCCUCCCAUGAGCUGACCAGCCACCUUAGAUAUCCACCACAUAUCCUGUGACUUCCUUUGGAUUUUUAGAUUUUUAUUUCUUGGCUGAGGGAAUUUUCCAGCCCCCUCCAGGACCUUCUGUCCUUUGGAGGCUAGCAGCUUUCCUCCUGUUUAGUGAGGUGCUGACUCAUUCUUCCCAGAUACUUGUUCAUAUGCAGCCUGCUGUAGUCCCUUGAUCUCCCUUGCCAAGUGACAGGCAGGCGCUUUUGAAGUAUUGGAGCCUUUUGCUGGAGUUUUAUCCAGCUGUCCUUGUUUGGUAUUUUGGCAAGAGAAUUCUACCCAGCAUUUGUGCAGAGUUCACCCCAUUACUUCUCUUCCUGCAUUUCAAGUGGAACCAGGUUAACAAAUGAUAGACAAUUAAAUCCAGAUGAUUUGCAGUAAGAAAUGUGCAUCGGUCAUAAAGGCUGCUCAAAAGGAGACUACACAAAUGUGUCCAUUAUCACAGGCCUCCUGGGGCUCAGCACUCUUAGCUCUGAGGCAG